rnacentral:RNase_P_RNA from 1 species
CGAGGCGGCCAGGCGAUCGCGGCGCUCCUGUCAGCGUCGAGGAAAGUCCGGACUCCACAGAGCAGGGUGGUGGGCAACACCCACCCGGGGUGACCCGCGGGCCAGUGCCACAGAAAACAAACCGCCUUCGACGCUCGUCGGAGGCAAGGGUGAAAAGGUGGUGUAAGAGACCACCGGCACCCCAGGUGACUGGGGUGGCCAGGUAAACCCCACCCGGAGCAAGACCAGACAGGGAACGCCCGAGGGCUGCUCGCCCAAGUUCCCGGGUAGGUCGCACCAGGCCGUCGGCAACGACGGUCGCAGAUGGAUGAUCGCCCUCGACAGAAUCCGGCUUAUCGGCCGCCUCGUCCU